rnacentral:lncRNA from 1 species
CAGGCACGUAUUGGAAUAAGUUUUAUUGCAACUGGGCUCUCUGUCCAAAUUCACUGAGUGCCAUCUUUGAGCCACAGACCUAUAGAAAGAUGACCUAGGGCACGUGAGUUGAUGUUCCUGAACCAAUGCCUUAAGGCUGUUGGCAAUUGCAAAAGAGAAAUCCUGGCCACUUGGCCAAAAAUUUUCCUGAACAUAAAUCCAGUGUAGCGACUACAGCUGAGGGCACUGACAGGGAGGACAGCGGACAGACCAUCCUUGCCUGACAGCUCUGCUCUGCAGAUUCCUAGAGGCACCUUUCUGGGGAAGUCACUCACCACUGAAGAUUUAUUAUCAAAAGUUUUUAAAAAUAAAGAAUAAAAAAGUAGCCUGUUAAAUGUUUGCUUGUGUUCUGAGAUUCAUGAGGUAGAGAGGCAAGACAUGGAAAGCCUGAUUUGUGUCCAUGUGAGGAGUAAUGAGUUCUGUGAGACACUCUAUGAGAAUUUGGGAAGUAAAUAACUGCUAAGUUAAAAAGCAGUAAUUUACUGAAUUUUGUUGACUUGUCUAGAACAUCUUUUAGAUGGACACUAUGUAGGGCAAAAAGAGUUAAGCUGGCCGUUUUCUAUUUUUUUUUAGGAAGAUUAGCCCUGAGCUAACAUCUGCUGCCAAUCCUCCUCUUUUUGCUGAGGAAGGCUGGCCCUGAGCUAACAUCUGUGCCCAUCUUCCUCUACUUUACAUGUGGGAUGCCUACCACAGCAUGGCUUGUCAAGCGAUGCCAUGUCCGCACCCGGGAUCUGAACUGGCGAACCCCAGACUGCUGAAGCAGAAUGUGUGAACUUAACUGCUGCGCCACUGGGUCAGCCCCUAAGCUGGCUUUUAGAAAAAAUCUAGAGCCCCUGCAUGCCCUGCUCAGGCCUCGCAUUUCGGGAAUGCCUUGGAGAUGGAGGUAGACGCAUGAUUAGGAAUUGAGGAAUUGAUCAUGGAAACUCAGCAGGCCUGAGCUCUACUUGGAGCGUUCCUCGGCUGAAUAGCAGAUAAAAUUUACUGGAUUUCCACGUCAGAACCUUUGCGAUUGCACUCUGUACUCCACUUUGAUGGAUUUAAAACUGGUCAUUAUGUUACAGGGCAAGUCGUAGCAGGAAUAAAAGCAGGUCGUUUCAAUCA